rnacentral:rRNA from 1 species
UACGAAGGGGGCUAGCGUUGUUCGGAAUUACUGGGCGUAAAGCGCACGUAGGCGGACAUUUAAGUCAGGGGGUGAAAUCCCGGAGCUCAACUCCGGAACUGCCUUUGAUACUGGGUGUCUUGAGUGUGGAAGAGGUGAGUGGAAUUCCGAGUGUAGAGGUGAAAUUCGUAGAUAUUCGGAGGAACACCAGUGGCGAAGGCGGCUCACUGGUCCAUUACUGACGCUGAGGUGCGAAAAGCGUGGGGAGCAAACAGG